GACCUUGAAAUACCACCCUUUAAUGUUUGAUGUUCUAACGUUGACCCGUAAUCCGGGUUGCGGACAGUGUCUGGUGGGUAGUUUGACUGGGGCGGUCUCCUCCUAAAGAGUAACGGAGGAGCACGAAGGUUGGCUAAUCCUGGUCGGACAUCAGGAGGUUAGUGCAAUGGCAUAAGCCAGCUUGACUGCGAGCGUGACGGCGCGAGCAGGUGCGAAAGCAGGUCAUAGUGAUCCGGUGGUUCUGAAUGGAAGGGCCAUCGCUCAACGGAUAAAAGGUACUCCGGGGAUAACAGGCUGAUACCGCCCAAGAGUUCAUAUCGACGGCGGUGUUUGGCACCUCGAUGUCGGCUCAUCACAUCCUGGGGCUGAAGUAGGUCCCAAGGGUAUGGCUGUUCGCCAUUUAAAGUGGUACGCGAGCUGGGUUUAGAACGUCGUGAGACAGUUCGGUCCCUAUCUGCCGUGGGCGCUGGAGAACUGAGGGGGGCUGCUCCUAGUACGAGAGGACCGGAGUGGACGCAUCACUGGUGUUCGGGUUGUCAUGCCAAUGGCACUGCCCGGUAGCUAAAUGCGGAAGAGAUAAGUGCUGAAAGCAUCUAAGCACGAAACUUGCCCCGAGAUGAGUUCUCCCUGACUCCUUGAGAGUCCUGAAGGAACGUUGAAGACGACGACGUUGAUAGGCCGGGUGUGUAAGCGCAGCGAUGCGUUGAGCUAACCGGUACUAAUGAACCGUGAGG
rnacentral:rRNA from 1 species